UAAUUGAAGUUUGCUGGAAUAAUAUUUAUGCAGGUAUGAUGUGAGUGGAUUUCCUACCUUGAAGUUCUUCCCAAAGGGCAACAAAGCUGGUGAAGAGUACGGAGGUGGAAGAGACUUGGAUGACUUUGUGGCUUUUAUCAAUGAGAAAUCUGGAACAAGUCGAGAUGUAAAAGGACAACUUACUUCCCAAGCUGGUAUAGUAGAAAGCUUGGAUGUCUUGGUUAAGGAGUUUGUAGCUGCCAGCGAUGAAGAGAAGAAAUCCGUGUUUACCCGAAUGGAAGAGGAAGUUGAGAAGCUGAAGGGUUCUGCCUCAAGGCACGGGAAGAUUUACUUGAAAGCUGCCAAGAAUUACUUG